rnacentral:misc_RNA from 1 species
AGCCUAGAAGGGGUUGCUUUGAAAUACGGGAGGAAGGUGGAGAGAAGUUCAUCAGUCUUCUGGACAUGAAACGGCCAUUUAAACCAAUGAAGGAUCUUGACAUGGACAAAGUCAUCGCAGAUAUAAUUGACAAGAUCAAAUGAUGAGCCAUUGGAGUGCAGGAGUAUUUUGACUGCAGAGGCAGUUUUUUGUGGAGUUGGAAGUCAACCAAGCUAACAUGACUCUAAAAUGGAAACCUUCGGAUUCUGUUCUGUUGAUUUUCCAUGCAUGCAUCUGUUUGUAGUUUUGUUGUUGUUAUACUGUCAAGGUCAUUAUCCUUAUGAACAAAUUAUUUUGGAUAUAUUCUUGGCAAGCACUAUGAUGAACCAAUGCGUACAAGUGCAUUUUUAAUGUUGUUUCUGAGAGCUAAGAAAGUGAUAUUGACGCGUUAUUUACUUGAUUGUCUUGAAAAAAAAAAACUACAAACAGAU